rnacentral:rRNA from 1 species
UACAGGGGGGGCAAGCGUUGUUCGGAAUUACUGGGCGUAAAGGGCUCGUAGGUGGCCAACUAAGUCAGACGUGAAAUCCCUCAGCUUAACUGGGGAACUGCGUCUGAUACUGGAUGGCUUGAGUUUGGGAGAGGGAUGCGGAAUUCCAGGUGUAGCGGUGAAAUGCGCAGAUAUCAGGAGGAACACCGGUGGCGAAGGCGGGUCUCUGGGCAACAACUGACGCUGAGGAGCGAAAGCGUGGGGAGCGAACAGG